rnacentral:rRNA from 1 species
AAUAAGCUAUUUAAGAGCGUAUGGGGGAUGCCUAGGCUCUCAGAGGCGAAGAAGGACGUGAUAAGCUGCGAUAAGCUGCGGGGAUUGGCACACAC